UAUUAAGCACUGGCUAAAGAGUAAAUACAUUUAAAACAGUGGUUAAAAAGUAAAAACAUCUCUAAUGAGUGGCUAUUUAUGCACUUCUCAACAUGUCCGAGACUAUAUCACAUGAAACAAGAUAGUUAUGUGGGGGACAAAAACACCACGCGGGAGCUGAUAAUUAGUCAAACAAGAUGAUAACCAGGAGCCAAUGAGUAAAUAGUACUUACUCCACAAGUAAGCAAACAAUAAACACAGUCAAUAGUUCUUCUUUCUUCUCUAACAAAGAUUUCAACUUAGUACUUAAUUUUGUUGAAAACUCCAAGAUCAAUCAUGAGUGAAGAAGGCAAGGAUAGUCAUCAUCAUCACCAUGGCCAUCACCACCACCAUCAUCACCAUGAGGACGACCAACCACCACCACCACCACCACCACCAGCUGAAUAUGGUACUUUUCAAGCACCUCCUCAACCGGUAGUCGGUUUCCCGCAGCCAGUACCUCCACCUGGGGCAUUUGAACCUUCCCCUGAAUACUAUGCUCGUGCCUAUCAGGUUGUUCCAGGUACCCUUUUGCUCCUCUUAAUUCAACAUCAAUAUCUGCACCGGUUAAUUUCUUGAAAUACUUCAACUUUAUUUGGUUUUUGGGUGAAAAGUUUGUG
rnacentral:lncRNA from 1 species